GAAAUGCGAUAAGUAAUGUGAAUUGCAGAAUUCAGUGAAUCAUUGAAUCUUUGAACGCACAUUGCGCCCGCCAGUAUUCUGGCGGGCAUGCCUGUCCGAGCGUCAUUUCAACCAUCAAGCCCCCGGGCUUGUGUUGGGGACCUGCGGCUGCCCGCAGGCCCUGAAAACCAGUGGCGGGCUCGCUGUCACACCGAGCGUAGUAGCAAUCACCUCGCUCAGGGCGUGCUGCGGGUUCCGGCCGUUAAACAGCCUUACAAAACCCAAGGUUGACCUCGGAUCAGGUAGGAAGACCCGCUGAACUUAAGC
rnacentral:misc_RNA from 1 species